rnacentral:ncRNA from 1 species
AUAAAUGCAAGGAAGAAGAGUAGUAGCAAGCAUAGUUACUUUCAGAGAGCUGGUGGAUGGUGCAAACCAGUAGUAGGUACUUGUGAAUGGACUUCAGAGCAGCCUUAUUAAAUGUAAGGCCGAUUCACUCCCCGUUAUCGGAGUAAGAAAGCGCGCAAAAAUUGCGAAUGAAGGUGGCACCACGGUUACUCGUCCUUUUU